rnacentral:rRNA from 1 species
AUUGAACGCUGGCGGCAGGCUUAACACAUGCAAGUCGAGCGGGGGAAGGUAGCUUGCUACCGGACCUAGCGGCGGACGGGUGAGUAAUGCUUAGGAAUCUGCCUAUUAGUGGGGGACAACAUCUCGAAAGGGAUGCUAAUACCGCAUACGUCCUACGGGAGAAAGCAGGGGACCUUCGGACCUUGCGCUAAUAGAUGAGCCUAAGUCGGCUUAGCUAGUUGGUGGGGUAAAGGCCUACCAAGGCGACGAUCUGUAGCGGGUCUGAGAGGAUGUUCCGCCACACUGGGACUGAGAGCCGGACCAGACUCCUACGGGGGGCAGCAUUGGGGAAUAUUGGACAAUGGGGGGAACCCCGAUCCAGCCAUGCCGCGUGUGUGAAGAAGGCCUUAUGGUUGUAAAGCACUUUAAGCGAGGAGGAGGCUACUUUAGUUAAUACCUAGAGAUAGUGGACGUUACUCGCAGAAUAAGCACCGGCUAACUCUGUGCCAGCAGCCGCUGUAA